AUGCCUUCAGGGCGCCUCACCCUUUCCUACAACCAGGCACACCCAGCGAAACCUGGGGAGUUAGUCCUGAACCAUAUCAUGGAGGGCAAGCGGCUGGACGACCUGUGCAGCAGCAUCACUCAUGGCCGGUUCCGGGAGCAGAAGUUCCGGCUAAAGCGCUGUGGCCUGGAGCGCCGGAUAUACCUGGUGGAGGAGCAAGGCUCAGUCCACAACCUCAGCCUUCCUGAGAGCAAGCUGCUGCAAGCUGUCGCCAACACUCAGGGCAUCGAUGGCUUCUUUGUGAAGCGCACAGCAGACAGUAGGGAGUCAGCUGCCUACUUGGCCCUCUUGACACGGGGCCUGCAGAGACUCUGCCAGGGACACACUGUACGCAGCCGCCCCGGGGAAUCCCAGGGGAUCCUGAAUCAGGGGCUGGGCCCUCCCCAAACCCUCUCUGCUCACUCCUCACCUUCAGUGACUUCAACGCAGGAGCCAUCAAGAACAAGGCCCAGUCAGUGCGAGAGGUGUUUGCCCGGCAGCUGAUGCAGGUGCGCGGAAUAAGUGGAGAGAAGGCAGCAGCCCUGGUGGAUCGAUACAGCACGCCUGCCAGCUUUCUGGCCGCCUAUGUUGCCUGUGCCAGCUCCAAGGAGCAGGAGACACUGCUGAGCACCAUCAAGUGUGGGCGGCUGCAGAGAAAUCUGGGACCCGCUCUGAGCAGGACCUUGGCCCAGCCCUACUGCAGCUGCAGCCCCCUGACCUGAGCUUAUGCCAUAAGACAGACCCCCAACCGCUCUGUCCCCCGACCCCUCAGGCUAGCCAACCUUUAACCAGGAUCUUUUGGGCUAUAAUAAAAAUCUAGCUGUUUGCAACCUUACAUGUUGUGGAGGCUAUGCCAGGCCCCAGGAGCCUUAUAAAAUACACAGGAGCUAGGGAAACCAUCUGGUCCAGUGGUUUUUAAACCAAGCUCCUGAGGACCUGGGGUUCCCUGGACAGGGAGGUGGAAUCAGUGGGUCAUCACAACUUUGAAUCUAUUUUAUGUAAUCAGAUAGUCCCUGAUGAAAUAAAAC